rnacentral:lncRNA from 1 species
UUAUUAUUAUCGUUAUAAUUAUCGGUGUUAUUCUCAUAAUUAUAAUACAGCAGGUACUAUUGAUCCGAUCAGAGUUUCGUCUGCACAAUUAUACACGGCAACGGGCAGAUCAUAUACCGACAAGUUUGGGACUUAUCAGAGCUAAGCCUCUAUUGUACAUUAUUGGCCACUGUUGAUAUAGUUACGAAUUAUUUUCAAGUCGUAUGUUUUAGAAAAUUGCAUUUUGUUACAUGUAUUAUUAUUACUAUUAUACUUAUUAUUAUUAUUGUUAUUAUUGCUCUUAUUAUUACAAUUAAUGUUAUUAUUAUUUGUACCACGGCCUAAAUAUUAAUAUACCCAUUCGCCAUGCAAAGUAACAUGCGUGAGGAGGGUUUUUUUCGAUCGCGGGGAUUAAUUAUAUAUAAGAAAUCGUAAAAUUCGUAUAGUGUAUAUACCUAUAUACCUAUUACCGAAUGGCUUUUCAUAUAUACAUACGCAUAGGGUUAUGCAUAUAUAUAUAUGUAUAUUAAAUUUUCUCCGCACUUUCAUAACAUUGAUUAAUGAAUUGAAUCAGUCUCAGUGAUUGAAAUAUUCAUUGUAACUUAUAGUACACACACACACACACACACACACACACACACAGAAUUAUAUGAUUGCUCAGAAACGGAUAUCUUUAUGGAUUAAUUCUUAAUCGUUACAAACAGGAAGUGAAAGAAAAGGAAUGAAUUCAUAGUAUAUUAUUAUUAUAUAAUUGAAUAUUAUACAUAUGUAUAUGUAUGCUACUUAGGAUAUAGUAUUAACAUACAAUUCAAUGCUAUUAAACGAUUUCGUCUCAA